GUGAGUUCCAGUGACUAAAAUUCUGAAAUUGAACUCAGGUCGGCAGACUUGAUGAUGUCUUACUGACCCCCAUUAAAUUUUUUUUUUCUUUUUUUCUUUUUUUACAACGGUGUCUCUCUCUGUAGCUUGGAUUGCCCUGGAGCUCACCUAAGCUAGCCUCAAAUUUAUGUUAAUCCUCUUGCCUCAGCCUCUCAAGUGCUACUGGUGUAAGUCACCACACUUGGCUCCAAGCUGCUUCCUGGACGGCCCAGGUGAGGAAGCCCUGCAUCUCUGGGGCAGCUGUGGCAAGGCAGUAGGUAUAGGGCCGGUCAGGAGUUAACUUGACCAGAGGAGCUCCUGGCUCGUGUGGAGGAGAGGAGAUAGGAGCAGUUCUGCUAGGUCUCACACCUGUGCUUACCUCCACAGGAUCGGACACUGUGUGCUGGGGAGAAGCUCGGGUCCCCCGUGGCCUCUUCCGUGUGACGUGCCAGUCCUUGCUUCCUGCAAGCAUGGAGCUCAAGAGGAAGAAUAAGGAGCUAAAUGGCCUGGCUUCAUACCCUUGGGAUCUUCCUGGGACCUGUCUUCCUCAUCCUGUCCAGAUUGCUUGAUGGUUGCCUUCACCUUCCUCGGACUCCAUUUCACCCUUCAGCAGCCUGGCUUCUGGGAAGAGGAGGAGCAUGGGGACUGUGAAAUGACUUGAAGGGUUUGCCUUCGCUGUCCCUGAUGGAUGGGAGACAUAGUCUGGUAGCACCAUGCUUCAGUCUGUGACUGUGGAGCUAGCCUGCUUGACCUUGGGGCUGGAGAAAUGUUAAGAGUGUUUGCUGCUCUUCCAGAGAACCAGAAUUCAGUUCCCAGCAUCCAUACGAAGUGGUUCCAAGGAAUUCAACUCCUUUUUCUUAGCUUCCUCAAUCACCCACACACAUGUGACUUACACACACACACACACA